CCCUGGAUUUACAUUGGAGUUAUUGCUUAGGUACUCCUCAAAACUAGUUUGGUUUUCCCUUGCUAAUGUCAAAUCCGUUACCAUCCCUUCCAUCUUUGAUGUGAACUGACCACCACAUUGCUGCUUCAGCUUUGUCAAAAUACUUCUCUCAUGAUCAUCAUUAGCGCUCUUAUCAAAAAGAAGCCGCCGAGCAAGCUUCUUUCUAUAAAAUUCAGCAAAUAAGUCUUUGUCACUGAUAUAAGCAAGCAGCUUUACCACCUUUUCCAGUGUUUCCUCAAUAGCUUCAUCACUCAGUUUCUCACUCCCACCUUUCUUAAGAAUAUUAUCACAGAAAGUGGC
rnacentral:misc_RNA from 1 species